GCGGGAAUAGCUCAGUUGGCUAGAGCGUCAGCCUUCCAAGCUG
rnacentral:tRNA from 1 species